rnacentral:lncRNA from 1 species
CAAGACUGUAAGAGAGCUUCUGUAUAUGGAUAUAAUGCAAUUGAUAUAUAUUUGAUUAUGAGAAUACAUUUUCUUCCUUCUCUCUUUCAAAGGAAGAAGCAGUGGAGAUUUUUCUACCAUGCGACUUCAGAAGGUUUAUUGGUGCUUUGACACAGCCUUUAAAUUGUUAGGAUUUCUUCAAUUUGGAAACAAAACGUGUUCCAUGCUGAAGAGAGCCGUGUCAGCAUUUCCUGCCUAUAAAUGAAAUGGGUUCUCACUACCAUGGAAGCCAACCCUCCUUCUCUUAAGCCAGUUCCAGCAGAUGGUCCCAGAUGAGAGCAAUCCACUCAGUUCCUAGCCUCUAGGCUGGGUGGUAAGUCUGGGUGAUGCAGUCAGUGUACCUCUGAUAAUGAGGCUGGGUUUGUUUGUCUGUUUGUUUUACUGAAUAGCAUCACUUAAGAAUCAAGUUAACCAUUUCUGACUUUUCACAUUGAAAUAAAUACCUCGAAUCAGCAUAGAUACUUUAACUUUCAGUUGCUUUAUUAUUACAAAUGCAAACUUUAAAUGUGCUAGGUUAUUAGAGUCUCUCCACUCUUAACUUCUGGAAGAAAUAUUUCCUGGUAAUGUGAAGCAAAAACUUGUAAAAAGAUUUCAUAGUUUUCAGGCUGUGGAUCUCUUCCUCAAAUUAGUUACCUUUGUAAUAGUGACUGAGUGCCAAAAAUAAAUAAAUAAAUAACAUAAAAGGAAAGAAGGAAAAAGGUUUUGAAUAUCCUUUCCAUUUACUGUGUUAAAACAGAUCCUAACAUAAUAUAAUAAAAAAAAUUAAAAAAAAUAAACCAGAUCCUUCCUCUCACAGCCAGCUCUUAGAAUAGCAUUCAGCAUAUAGUAACUGUUCAAUAAAAAUCAUUGCCCAGGGAAUUAUGAAAUAAAGUGUCAUAACUCUUUGAAGCUCUGUUUGAAAGUGAUGAUUCUAAACCAAACUGCCCUUUACAAACUUUUAGAAUUCACCAGUUAAGAAAUAUUUAAAUAUCUAAAUCUCUUUUCCUACAUUGUGAAAGAAAGUCUUCAUGUUGGUUAUGUAAUUCAAUCUCCAUAAAAGCAAAGAGCUUUUUGAGCUUUUCCUAAGGGAGCCCACCACCCAGGACAGAAUGGGAGGUUAUACCUGACAUGCUAUGUAUUUCAUUGGUCAUCUCUGAUCCUUGCUCAUCAGCCUGACUGGUGUGAACAUACGUCUCUGUCACC